AAGCAAUGCUGAUUGACUAACUUGGUUCCUGCCCCAAGACGGCUCGAUGCACUAGAAAUUAACAACGUAGCAAGCUAGCCUGAGCUAGUUAACUAAUACGCCGUCCAGCCGAAAUACACACGUAUACAACAAAAGCACGGCGGAUCGAAUUGAUCUGCUAGCCGGCUGGCUCUACUACGCACGCACAAAGACUUGAAUUGAUAGCAAACAGGCUUGUGUUGAGCCUGUCUUUUAUUGCUUUUGAUAUCUCACGAUCUUGCGGUGGUUCUUACAGGGGCUAUAUAAACAUAUAUAUAGUAGCAGGAUAGUUUAGCUAACCUAUUCGGUUACUACUCCUAAUCCUACUUGGUGAUGAGUACGAAACCUACAUAUACAUGUCGUGUUUAGUUCCAACACUUUUUGGAUGGACUAAUAUGAAGACGAUGGCUAGCUCCCAUUGCCAUCAUAUAGUCUAGAAGAAAGGGCAAGGAUUAUAUGAAAAAUAAAGGUACAAUGCUCAUAAUAUAUUUUACCUUUUUGGCAAAGUUUUGGUGCUUGCGCAAGAAAAUAACAUCAUCAUUAUACCUACUGCUCUUUUUUUAUUCAGGCAAUUAGCCAUUAGUAGGAAAUGCCAACUAAUUGUACUUUCUUUGUUACAGAGGUGAAAUUACUACUACUUUUUGAAAGCUUUUUUUGUUGCAUGUUCCCCUUUCUUAAUCUUCUGUUUGUUCAAAUGUACAUACAUGUGCUUACACAAUGAAUCUCACCAUGCUAUCAUUUCCUGAAUAAGCUAAGGAUAUAUGUUUUCAAAGCCUCUGUUACGAGUGAAAUGCGGCAAUGGAAGCAAGGAGUCAUGGCUUACUUCUAUUCGGAUUCCAUCUCUACUAGGACAAUCCUUAUCCUUCUCACCAUUUAUAUUUGAUUCCUUGGAGAUUCAUAAAGAAGGAAUGCAUCCAUGAUCUUGGUAUAAAUUUGUUUGGAUGCUUCAGAAUCUUCAGAUGGCAUGGAUGAGACAUAAUUUGUUGUAUUAGGAUAUUUUUCAUGGUUACACGGUGGAUAUAGAUCACAGGUUGAAUUUCACCGUACAAAAAGCGUUUCCAUGCUUCAGCACGCCGGAUUAAGCUGUCAAGCCCUGUAUGUGAGGAUGGGAAAACAUCAAUGAACCAUGCAGCCGAUCUGGCCAUCGAAUGCAUGGAAACCAGCGAGUAGAAGGUGCUUGUUGACUAUAACUAUUAUCAGAUAGGGCAACAGAAAAAUGCAUGUGCAAGGGUAGCUGUUAGAAAAAUCAGAAGAAAUAAAACAACACAACAAGACCAGCAAGUAGAUACCAACUUUACAUCCGGAUCAACAUCAAAAGACAACGAUGUAAAUCAUAUUUUGAGACAAGAUAUGUUGAUGAUCGUCUUAGUGACACAAUGACACAGUCAAAGUAUGAUCGCCAACAGACAAACAAGUGUUAUCGGAGCCUUGACGGUGAUAUGGAAGGAAUCUCUUCUUUAGGCAAUGACAACCGCUUUUCAAUACCGAUGGCGCAUGCAAUGAUGACUCUGCCUGAUGAUCAUUGCUUUAUAACUGCGACCAUCUAUAUGCCGCAUCUCUUGCUAUAUACUUUGCUCAUUGUAAAUAAUCUAUCGUAGACUUAAACUACUAUGUAUCAGCAAUGAGUCGUCUUAGAACGCUAUAUGUCAGCACAUGUUUUCAUUUGCUUAUGCUCAUCACAGACUUCAACACUGUGUCAGUAUUGAGUUCUCUUAGAACAAUUUGUAUAAACAUCAAAUUCCUAUUUGCUUGUGCUCUAAUCCUGCUAUGCCUUGCUUUA